rnacentral:rRNA from 1 species
GUAAGGUAACGGCUUACCAAGGCUAAGACGGGUAGCUGGUCUGAGAGGAUGAUCAGCCACACUGGGACUGAGACACGGCCCAGACUCCUACGGGAGGCAGCAGUAGGGAAUCUUGCGCAAUGGGCGAAAGCCUGACGCAGCCACGCCACGUGUGGGACGACGGCCUUCGGGUUGUAAACCACUUUCAGCAGGGACGAAAUUGACGGUACCUGCAGAAGAAGCCCCGGCCGACUACGUGCCAGCAGCCGCGGUAACACGUAGGGGGCGAGCGUUGUCCGGAAUUACUGGGCGUAAAGGGCUCGUAGGCGGUUUGGUAAGUCAGAUGUGAAAACUCCAGGCUCAACUUGGAGACGCCAUCUGAAACUACCAUGACUAGAGUUUGGUAGAGGAGUGCAGAAUUCUCGGUGUAGCGGUGAAAUGCGCAGAUAUCGGGAGGAAUACCAGUCAGCGAAGGCGGCACUCUGGGCCACAACUGACGCUGAGGAGCGAAAGCGUGGGUAGCGAACAGGAUUAGAUACCCUGGUAGUCCACGCCGUAAACGGUGGGCAUUAGGUGUGGGGCCCUGUCAACGGGCUCCGUACACGUAGCUAACGCGUUAAAUG